rnacentral:rRNA from 1 species
UGGACAAAGAUGACGCUCAGGUGUGAAAGCGUGGGGAGCAAACAGGAUUAGAUACCCUGGUAGUCCACGCUGUAAACGAUGUCGACUUGGAGGUUGUGCCCUUGAGGCGUGGCUUCCGGAGCUAACGCGUUAAGUCGACCGCCUGGGGAGUACGGCCGCAAGGUUAAAACUCAAAUGAAUUGACGGGGGCCCGCACAAGCGGUGGAGCAUGUGGUUUAAUUCGAUGCAACGCGAAGAACCUUACCUACUCUUGACAUCCACGGAACUUGCCAGAGAUGGCUUGGUGCCUUCGGGAACCGUGAGACAGGUGCUGCAUGGCUGUCGUCAGCUCGUGUUGUGAAAUGUUGGGUUAAGUCCCGCAACGAGCGCAACCCUUAUCCUUUGUUGCCAGCACUUCGGGUGGGAACUCAAAGGAGACUGCCGGUGAUAAACCGGAGGAAGGUGGGGAUGACGUCAAGUCAUCAUGGCCCUU